CAAUGAGUGUUUUAUGGCACUCUUUAAAAAUCCAUAUCCACCUUGUGUGCAAUGUUUGUUGGGAAAGUCUUUUCUUUCCCUUCAUAAAUAUCAACCUAUAUCUUUAACAACAUUCGUCUGAUAACAUAUUAUGAAUAAACAAUUCAAAAUA
rnacentral:misc_RNA from 1 species